GUUUGCUACUUUUUACAGGUACAGGGAGCAGAUUUGGACAACUGAUGCAUUCCCAAUCGGUGGUAUUAGCAUCUCAGAUGCUCACUUUGAUGGAAAUGCUUCAGUUGGCCUAAGCCACUCCACCCUUCAAGAGGCCUCAAGUCUUCAGUAGAAUGCAAGGCCAAGAUUCCUAUCUUUCUGCCCAUUUGAAACUGAAGGUUUUCCAGCAGCCUGCAAUCUCCAAGCAGGGAAAGAUUCAGGCUACAUCUCAACAACAACAUCCCACCCUUGUAAAGCCACCACUCAACACCUAGGACCCAGGAAAGGGAUAUAGCCUGGCUUUGGGAAGCAAAGGAAAAUUGUCCUCAAUCUUUUUUGUCAGCAACAGCCUUUUCAAAGCUAGACUGAAGAUAGCCACUAUUUUCAUAUG
rnacentral:lncRNA from 1 species